ensembl:snRNA U6 U6 spliceosomal RNA
UUUCUCACUUCCACAGCACAUGUAUUAAAAUUGGAAUGAUACAGAGAAGAUUAGUAUGGCCCCUGUGCAAGGAUGACACACAAAUUUGUGAAGCGUUCCAAGAAAAA